rnacentral:rRNA from 1 species
GAUGAACGCUAGCGGCAGGCUUAACACAUGCAGGUCGAGGGGUAUAGUUCUUCGGAACUAGAGACCGGCGCACGGGUGCGUAACGCGUAUGCAAUCUACCUUUUACAGGGGAAUAGCCCAGAGAAAUUUGGAUUAAUGCCCCAUAGUAUAGUUUAUUCGCAUGAGUAGAUUAUUAAAGUUCCAACGGUAAAAGAUGAGCAUGCGUCCCAUUAGCUAGAUGGUAAGGUAACGGCUUACCAUGGCGACGAUGGGUAGGGGUCCUGAGAGGGAGAUCCCCCAAACUGGUACUAAGACACGGACCAGACUCCUACGGGAGGCAGCAGUGAGGAAUAUUGGUCAAUGGACGCAAGUCUGAACCAGCCAUGCCGCGUGCAGGAUGACGGUCCUAUGGAUUGUAAACUGCUUUUGUACGAGAAGAAACACUGCUACGUGUAGCAGCUUGACGGUAUCGUAAGAAUAAGGAUCGGCUAACUCCGUGCCAGCCGCCGCAGUAA